rnacentral:sRNA from 2 species
UGGAGGGAAGCCUGGAGGAAGCCAAGCAGUUAUUUGGACGCUUGCUCUUUAAUGAUCCGGACCUGCGCGAAGUCUGGCUCAAUUAUCCUCUCCACCCACUCCAACUACAAGAGCCAAAUACUGAUCGACAACUUAUUGAAACUUCUCCGGUUCUACAAAAACUUACUGAGUUUGAAGAAGCAAUUGGAGUAAUUUUUACUCAUGUUCGACUUCUGGCAAGGGCAUUCACAUUGAGAACUGUGGGAUUUAACCAUCUGACCCUAGAUGGGGUUUCUUCAUGUUGCCAGGCUGGUCUCAAACUCCUGGGCUCAAGUGAUCCACCUGCCUCAGCCUCACAAAGCACUGGGAUUAGAGGCAUGAGCCACUGCACCCGGCCAGA